rnacentral:rRNA from 1 species
UACGAAGGGGGCUAGCGUUGUUCGGAAUCACUGGGCGUAAAGCGCACGCAGGCGGAUCGUUAAGUCAGGGGUGAAAUGCCGAGGCUCAACCUCGGAACUGCCUUUGAUACUGGCGAUCUUAGAGUCCGGGAGAGGUGAGUGGAACUCCGAGUGUAGAGGUGAAAUUCGUAGAUAUUCGGAAGAACACCAGUGGCGAAGGCGGCUCACUGGACCGGUAUUGACGCUGAGGUGCGAAAGCGUGGGGAGCAAACAGG